UGAGGAAUAUUGGGCAAUGCCCGCAAGGGUGACCCAGCAACGCCGCGUGGAGGAUGAAUGUCGUAAGAUUGUAAACUCCUGUUAGAGGGGAAGAAUAGUACCGGUUGGACCGGUAUAUGACUGUACCCUCAGAGAAAGCCCCGGCUAACUACGUGCCAGCAGCCGCGAUAAUACGUAGGGGGCAGGCGUUGUCCGGAUUUACUGGGUGUAAAGGGCGCGCAGGCGGGAUAAAAAGUCAGUGGUGAAAUCCUACAGCUUAACUGUAGAACUGCCUUUGAUACUUUUAUUCUUGAGUUCGGGAGAGAGAGACGGAAUUCCAGGUGUAGUGGUGAAAUACGUAGAUAUCUGGAAGAACACCAGUUGCGAAGGCGGUCUCUUGGUCCGACACUGACGCUGAGGCGCGAAAGCGUGGGGAGCAAACA
rnacentral:rRNA from 1 species